GAUGAACGCUGGCGGCGUGCCUAAUACAUGCAAGUCGAGCGAACAGACGAGGAGCUUGCUCCUCUGACGUUAGCGGCGGACGGGUGAGUAACACGUGGAUAACCUACCUAUAAGACUGGGAUAACUUCGGGAAACCGGAGCUAAUACCGGAUAAUAUAUUGAACCGCAUGGUUCAAUAGUGAAAGACGGUUUUGCUGUCACUUAUAGAUGGAUCCGCGCCGCAUUAGCUAGUUGGUAAGGUAACGGCUUACCAAGGCAACGAUGCGUAGCCGACCUGAGAGGGGGAUCGGCGACACUGGAACUGAGACACGGUCCAGACUCCUACGAGAGGCAGCAGUAGGGAAUCUUCCGCAAAGGGCGAAAGCCUGACGGAGCAACGCCGCGUGAGUGAUGAAGGUCUUCGGAUCGUAAAACUCUGUUAUGAGGGAAGAACAAAUGUGUAAGUAACUAUGCACGUCUUGACGGUACCUAAUCAGAAAGCCACGGCUAACUACGUG
rnacentral:rRNA from 1 species